rnacentral:rRNA from 1 species
CAAAUCAGGUAGGACUACCCGCUGAACUUAAGCAUAUCAAUAAGCGGAGGAAAAGAAACUAACAAGGAUUCCCCUAGUAACUGCGAGUGAAGCGGGAAAAGCUCAAAUUUAAAAUCUGGCGGUCUUUGGCCGUCCGAGUUGUAGUCUGGAGAAGCGUCUUCCGCGUUGGACCGUGUACAAGUCUCUUGGAACAGAGCGUCAUAGAGGGUGAGAAUCCCGUCUUUGACACGGACUACCAAUGCUUUGUGAUGCGCUCUCAAAGAGUCGCGUUGUUUGGGAAUGCAGCGCAAAAUGGGAGGUGAAUUCCUUCUAAAGCUAAAUAUUGGCGAGAGACCGAUAGCGAACAAGUACCGUGAGGGAAAGAUGAAAAGCACUUUGGAAAGAGAGUUAAACAGUACGUGAAAUUGCUAAAAGGGAAACGCUUGAAGUCAGUCGCGUCGUCCGGAACUCAGCUUUGCUUCGGCUUAGUGCACUUUCCGGUUGACGGGCCAGCAUCGAUUUUGACCGCUGGAAAAGGGCUGGAGGAAUGUGGCACCUUCGGGUGUGUUAUAGCCUUCAGUCGCAUACAGCGGUUGGGAUCGAGGAACGCAGCGCGCCUUAUGGCUGGGGUUCGCCCACAUUCGCGCUUAGGAUGCUGGCAUAAUGGCUUUAAACGACCCGUCUUGAAACA